GAUUCUACAACAGCAGAAGUGCCUUUAACGUGGGUGACAAUUUUAGAAAACAUAAUGACGUGCAAAUGGCCACCAAAAAACAGUCGUAAAAAAAGCGAUAAAAAACGAAUAUCCCCGUUGGAUUCUUGGGAAACGUGGACCAUAGUGAACAUUUUAUUAAAAACUGACGAUUACCAAUAUGCUGUGGAUUUUGCAAGAAGGAAAACAAAAACGGAUACCGAUACAUCAGCUGCGGAAGCUGGCAGAAGGAAACGAAGGAUAAAAAAAAGAUCCAAGAAGAAUAUGCAAGCGAAUUCAAUAACGAUUCUUGCCAUGAGCAACAAUAUUGCAGAAUGACGCCACCUCCGUCAGUGUCUGCUACAUUUGAUCUUCCGUUAGAAGAUCAGUCGAACCAAGUAACUCAAACCUCAAUUGAAAAUACUGCGGAAAUCAGUGCUGAGAGGUAUAACAUUUUACCAGCCAUGAGUAACUAUCAAGGUUAGUCUAUUAUUUAAAGAAUGAGCGAUAUCUCCGCUUUAUGCUGAGGGUUAACUCUUCUUUGUUUUAUGGAGAAAAUCAGAUAGCCCAGUCGAAAAGCGACAAUAUCACCACCUCAGGCAGCAAUGAACCAAGGACCGGAAAGGACCCCGCACAAAUCGUAUGAGAAAUGGCCCUCAGCGGAUUUGGCUGAAAUUUUAGUAUGAUGUAGUCCUGGUCAUGCUGAACAAAAGUCUCAAUGGCACUGACAAGUUCUGAUGGCUAGUUUUCGAGUUACAAUAGAUUAAUGAUUAAUAAUUAGAAAAUUCAGCUAAUAUGAUUAAUGAAGUUUUAUCAAUAAACUGAUGGUAUCACAUGGUGUUCCGUAUUUUGCUAAUGCGUAUGAACA